UUUGAGUAAUCUGGGUUUUGAGGAGCUAUUUUUGGGUAUUAAUCUUUUGAUUUGUGAGAUAAAAAAUUGAAAAUUGGGAUUGUAAAGCAGAAGUAAUGAGCUCCAAUGGCGGUGGCGACGUCUACAGCAGCAAAAGCUUUUGAUGAUCCGCGAGAGCUAUAAAAUGACUUGCAGUUGGAGAAUUGGAGGCUACGAAUGUCAAGUUUCGAUGGGACUGAAGCCAUUGGAGUGGGUGUCUUAGUCGAAGCGAACCCGUGAUUGGGAGCAGUCGACACAAGACAACAAUAAAAUCAAGAAAGACAACCCGUGAUUGGGAGCAGUCGGCACAAGACAACACUCCAAUAUGCUUGUUUUUUGCUAACCCGUGUUUCUGUCAGCUCCAUGGUUUGUUUUUUGUAACCC